rnacentral:rRNA from 1 species
CCUGAGAAACCUAAAAGUUCGAAAAGAGAGAUUCAACGUCAGCAUGUACAGUAUUGACGUGAGUAGUGAUGUCAGUUUUAUUGAUUGGGUUAAACCAAGCAAUUAUGACUGACACAUUUUCAUGUUAUUUUUAUUGCUGUACAACUGUCGGCGUGCACUUCUCUCUUAGUAGGACGUCCCGACCCGUUGAGUCUUAGCCUACGGCCCAUAUGGAUGCCUUUAAUAUUUUUAUAUUAAAAUCCUUUGGUGUCUCCUGGCCUAAGUACUCGACGGUAAAAACGACUUGGUAUUAAGCCGCAAUUUAUUGUGCGUCCGGCCUGCCGCAAGUUUAUUGACAAUUUCUGUACACAUAGACUAUGUCCUAAGUGUAUGGUAUUGUUGGCUGUUUGCAUGACAGUGCUCUUGGACUGGCUUAGUAUAUACCUGUCAGGGACGCUUAGGCUUUGGGUACUCUCAGGACCCGUCUUGAAACACGGACCAAGGAGUCUAACAUGUACGCGAGUCAUUGGGUAUAUAUUUUCUUUCGGGAAUUUAUAUAAAACAAACCUAAAGGCGAAAUGAAAGUAAAAGCUGGAUCUUGUAUUCAACUUAGGGAUGAUGGGUUAUUAAUUUAUCCCCGCAAUCCCAGGGCGUCUUAAUCUCAUUGCGAGAUGU